UACGAAGGGGGCGAGCGUUGUUCGGAUUUACUGGGCGUAAAGGGCGCGCAGGCGGCCAUUCAAGUCAGGCGUGAAAGCCCCGGGCUUAACCUGGGAGGUGCGCUUGGGACUGGGUGGCUAGAGAUCGGGAGAGGAGAGUGGAAUUCCCAGUGUAGAGGUGAAAUGCGCAGAUAUCAGGAAGAACACCCGUGGCGAAGGCGGCUCUCUGGGACGGUACUGACGCUGAGACGCGAAAGCGUGGGGAGCGAACAGG
rnacentral:rRNA from 1 species